GGCUCUGACAUUCAGCCUUCUUUGAGCCAUAAGUCUCUUUCCCUGGUGCCUGGGGCUGUGGGCAUAGUCUCCUUGUGUGGCUUCCCCGGCUUGCUUACACCAGCAGGUUAAGUGGGUAAGCAUAAGCAUCCUGUCAGAAUUCCUCCCUGGGAGAGAGCAAACAGUAAGGCCUGGAGUGGAGCAUCUCUCUCAACUCUGCUGUCGGUUGAUGCAGCUGAAGGGAAAGAUAACGCAGAGUUGAUUUGUUUUUUUUGUUUUUGCUUUUUUUUUUAAAGAGGGAGGGGUAAGUCUUAGACCAAGACAUAAUCCACUAAUCAGAGUGAACCCAAGGCUCAUAAAUGAAGAUUUUUCUGUGAAAGGGUACAAGAUAUUGCUGUAGAAGGCAGCCUGUGUGGCUGUUACAUAGUUGGUCUCUUCGUUUCUCUUUCUCUCUGCUUACAUCUUUAGCUACUUUUUAGUUUUGGGUAUCUUUUUGUCUGUCUGUCUGUCUGUCUUUUUGUGACCCUGUCUUCCUAAGUAGCUUAAGCAGGUCUAGAAUUGUCACUCCUCCAACCUCCACAGCCCGCCUGUUUAGUUUAGUUGUGUGCUGGUUUCCUGGUUUCCUAUAUCCAGCCUCUUCUCAUGGAUUUUAUUGACUGCCUUACCUGAUGCUUCCCUCACCCUCCUUCCUGCUCAGUCCCUCUGAUCUGCUGCUCACUCUUAACCUAAAGGAAGCAGCCAUUCCUCAGCCUCAUUACCCCAAACAUCAGGAAAAAAAUCCAGAAAGUUUGACAAUGAAACCCCCAAUCCUUCUUUGAACUUUAGAUCUCUCAGUCUCUAUUGGAAGGUGGGAGUAAGACCUGGGAUAGGAGGAACAUGGAACUGUAACAGAUAGGCCAGCAUCUCCAGUGAGGUUCAUCUGACUCUUAGUAACAUGCAUAUUAAACUGUCCUGGCCAGAGACUGACAUUGAUCCCGUCCAGAUGGCCUCUGCAGGACCUGGGUGGUUCAGACCAACACUGAGAAGACCUUAAGCUGUGGAUCUGGACACACCUCGGUCCUUAAAGCUUUAAAUGACCUCUUCACUGAGAUACUCUAAAGCCAAUGUCUUUUUCCCUUGCAAGCUCAGUCAGGGCUUAAGGACAACCAUUUGCCAGGAACUCUGCUUGCCUUACUUGUCAAUCUAAAGAAGCUGAUUCCUCUGAAGUGGGACCUAGAAGUAUGGGGGAGGCAUUCUUGGAGAAGUCUCACAUGUCAUCCACGCUAGCCGCACCUGAGACGAUUGCAUGCGGAUCCGGAAGCUGUGCUUCCCGCUUCUACUCAGGGUAGCGCAAGACAUCACCCGUUGUUGCUGGUUGGAGGAGGCACAUGAGUGACCCCAGGAGGAGAUGGUGCUGCAGUCUCCACUCUCAUAAAUGGCCUGAGUGGUUCCCAUCAUGCAUGUCGUGUACUCACUCAGCAGAGAGUACGGUGGAUGAGAAUUGUAGGGAAAAGGAAUACGGUUUCCGCUUCAGCCAACGUCAUCGCCACUCACAUCUUUGUUCCCUCUCCAUUUCUUUGGGGUGGUAGCAUUGGGCUGGGGGGGGGGUCGGUCUCUGGUGAGUGAUUUUCUUUAGGGGCAGAGCCUGUGAGACAGAAGUAAACGUUGAAAGCAUCAGUUUUAGAGGCGCUUUGUGGAGGAGUCACUUAAAACUUCAGCUUCUUGUAAAGGAAACCAUCUGGUCUGGAAGAGCUCCAGUGAGUUCAGCGCUCACUGAGCCAACCAAGGUCACAAACCACAUUCUUAAGUAAGAGAAUUUUAGCUGGGGAUGUGGCUCGGUGGGUAGAGUGCGUGCUUGUCUAGCAUCACUGAGGCUGUGGAUUCAAUCCCCCUGGCAUGGCGGUGCUCACCUUUAAUCCCAGCACUUGAGAAGCAGAGGCAGGUGGAUCUCAGAAUUUGAGGCCAGACUGUUUAUACAUAGUUCCAGGCCAGCCAGAGCUACAUAGUGAAACCCUGUCUGAAAAC
rnacentral:lncRNA from 1 species